AAAUUGAAGAGUUUGAUCAUGGCUCAGAUUGAACGCUGGCGGCAGGCCUAACACAUGCAAGUCGAACGGUAACAGGAAGAAGCUUGCUUCUUUGCUGACGAGUGGCGGACGGGUGAGUAAUGUCUGGGAAACUGCCUGAUGGAGGGGGAUAACUACUGGAAACGGUAGCUAAUACCGCAUAACGUCGCAAGACCAAAGAGGGG
rnacentral:rRNA from 2 species